UACGUAGGUGGCAAGCGUUGUCCGGAUUUACUGGGCGUAAAGAGCGCGCAGGCGGUCGUUCAAGUCGCGUGUGAAAGCCCCCGGCUCAACUGGGGAGGGUCACGCGAUACUGAUCGACUCGAAGGCAGGAGAGGGUAGUGGAAUUCCCGGUGUAGUGGUGAAAUGCGCAGAUAUCGGGAAGAACACCCGUGGCGAAGGCGGCUCUCUGGAACGCAACUGACGCUGAGACGCGAAAGCGUGGGGAGCAAACAGG
rnacentral:rRNA from 1 species